GUAAGGAAUAUUGGACAAUGGACGCAAGUCUGAUCCAGCCAUGCCGCGUGAAGGAUUAAGGUCCUCUGGAUUGUAAACUUCUUUUAUAAGGGACGAAAAAAGGCUUUUCUAAGUCGUCUGACGGUACCUUAUGAAUAAGCACCGGCUAACUCCGUGCCAGCAGCCGCGGUAAUACGGAGGGUGCAAGCGUUAUCCGGAUUCACUGGGUUUAAAGGGUGCGUAGGCGGGCAGGUAAGUCAGUGGUGAAAUCCUAGAGCUUAACUCUAGAACUGCCAUUGAUACUAUCUGUCUUGAAUAUUGUGGAGGUAAGCGGAAUAUGUCAUGUAGCGGUGAAAUGCUUAGAUAUGACAUAGAACACCUAUUGCGAAGGCAGCUUACUACGCAUAUAUUGACGCUGAGGCACGAAAGCGUGGGGAUCAAACAGGAUUAGAAACCCCUGUAGUCC
rnacentral:rRNA from 1 species